AAUUUUGCCUCAAUUUCAUUUUAUUUACGAGUUUGCCACCGGGCUGAUUUCAGUGGUUCAAUUUCACUUUAUUUACGAGGCUGCCACUGAGUCUCUCUGCCGUUGAGCAUGAUCGCGGGAAAGGAAGAACGAUGGUAAGGCCGGUCUUUUUCCAUUUCCUUCUCUAACCCGCAUCCCCUCUUCCGUCUCGCAGACCCCGCGAGAACGACACAGACGGUCUCGCCUCCGUCCUAUCCCUCCUCUCGCCGCCGUUCCCUUCUCUCGCCUCCGUCGUGCUUGAUGAUCGUGGAACCCAGUGAUUCUGCUUCUACGACAUAGCCUCGACUCUGCUUCCAUCGCCAUUUUUUCUCCUCGCCUUCUCUCUCAGAAAUCACCAACUACAGCACUGUGUUGCUCAAAAACCACCAAGCCGUUAGAAAUCUCUUCGAUUCUCUCUCUCAGAAACUACGAAGCACAUCGACCUCUUGCUGAAAAACCGUGAAUUUGGUCCCAAUUCGGAGGAAAUUUUAAUCCCAGAAAAUCGUUGGUCUCCUGGAUUUCGUUAUCUUUCAUUACAGCGGACGGAUACCUGAAGCAGCUUUGAUGGCACGAUCUUACUUACCAAGCAAGGUUUCAGAGAGAGUUUCAAUUUGGAGAAAUGACCUGAACAAGGU